rnacentral:rRNA from 1 species
UACGAAGGGGGCUAGCGUUGCUCGGAAUCACUGGGCGUAAAGGGCGCGUAGGCGGCCUACUAAGUCAGACGUGAAAUCCCCCGGCUUAACCUGGGAACUGCGUCUGAUACUGGAUGGCUUGAAUCCGGGAGAGGGAUGCAGAAUUCCAGGUGUAGCGGUGAAAUGCGUAGAUAUCUGGAGGAAUACCGGUGGCGAAGGCGGCAUCCUGGACCGGCAUUGACGCUGAGGAGCGAAAGCCAGGGGAGCAAACGGG